CCUACGGGGGGCAGCAGUGGGGAAUAUUGGACAAUGGGGGGAACCCUGAUCCAGCCAUGCCGCGUGUGUGAAGAAGGCCCUCGGGUUGUAAAGCACUUUCAGUGAGGAAGAACGCCUGGUGGUUAAUACCCAUCAGGAAAGACAUCACUCACAGAAGAAGCACCGGCUACACUCCGUGCCAGCAGCCGCGGUAAUACGGAGGGUGCGAGCGUUAAUCGGAAUUACUGGGCGUAAAGCGCGCGUAGGUGGCUUGAUAAGCCGGUUGUGAAAGCCCCGGGCUCAACCUGGGAACGGCAUCCGGAACUGUCAAGCUAGAGUGCAGGAGAGGAAGGUAGAAUUCCCGGUGUAGCGGUGAAAUGCGUAGAGAUCGGGAGGAAUACCAGUGGCGAAGGCGGCCUUCUGGACUGACACUGACACUGAGGUGCGAAAGCGUGGGUAGCAAACAGGAUUAGAUACCCCUGUAGUC
rnacentral:rRNA from 1 species